rnacentral:rRNA from 1 species
GAGAGACGCUGGCGGCGUGCUUAACACAUGCAAGUCGAACGGAGUUACGUAUGAAGUAUUUCGGUACGGACUACAUAACUUAGUGGCGAACGGGUGAGUAACACGUGGGCAACCUGCCCUUAACCGGGGGAUAACAUUGUGAAAACAGUGCUAAUACCGCAUAACAGAGUAUCGGGCAUCCGAUAUUUUUAAAAGGAGCAAUCCGGUUUAGGAUGGGCCCGCGUCCAAUUAGCUAGUUGGUGAGGUAACGGCUCACCAAGGCUACGAUUGGUAGCCGAACUGAGAGGUUGAUCGGCCACAUUGGGACUGAGACACGGCCCAGACUCCUACGGGAGGCAGCAGUGGGGAAUAUUGGGCAAUGGGCGAAAGCCUGACCCAGCGACGCCGCGUGAAGGAUGAAGGUCUUCGGAUUGUAAACUUCUUUGAUCAGGGAAGAAAGAAAUGACGGUACCUGAAGAACAAGCCACGGCUAACUCCGUG